GACUUGAACCAGCACGCAGAUCGGAAAGCCACUUCGAAGGAAACCUUGUAGAGAAGAAGAGCAACUUUCUAAUUCCUGUCAAACUAAGAGGCGGAACCAAGCCCAGAAGUAGCCUCAAGGCCUGGAGAGAGCAGAGCAGAGAGCCGACUCCACACUCCAGCCAAGGCUCAAGAAAGGCUUUGCUUCUGGAGGCGGCAUUGUUCCUCCAUCCGCUCAGCCUCCGCGUCUCCCCUCCGCGGACUCUCAGAAUCACUGCCUUUCUCGGGUACCUCUCCGCCGACCUCCGGGAUCUGGGUGCCUGGGUCCCAAGGCGCACCCAAGCAGGCUCACUGCAGAGGCUGGGGCGCCGCUCGGAAGACUAGGAGCCUCCGCACGAGUCCGCCCCGACCAGGGCAGCGCGCAGCGCACACUCAGUGUCUCACUCCUCUCGGCUUCCCUGGCUCCCACGGACUCGGCUGGCCUCUCACCACCCACUCGGGUUCGCCUUUCCUGCCUUGGCUUCCCACACCAGCUCCGCACCGCCGCCACAGCCGCGUCCCCACGCUCCGAACCCUAGCAGGCCGGGAUGAAGGGAUGCCAGGGUCAGGGACGCACCCGAAGGAGAAGAGAGGCUAAGGCGAGCCGGGGCAGGUGGGGAGUCGCGGGCUGCGGGAGAGGGCGUGUGCGAGCGAGCCCCCCGAGAAAGAUGCAUGUGCUCGGCCACCCCGCUGGAAGAAGGACCGAGGGGGCAGGAUGCAACGUGGAGAACGCCCACCGCGAGGGUGCGCAAAACCGGCGAUUUGCAAAGUGCCAGGGCCAGACAGGCAGAGGGGGAGGAAGGAGGCUGGCUGAAGACCAGGAACAGAGAGAAGAGCCCACUUCUCCAUCAAAAGGUCUGUUCGGUUAACGCAUCCCCAGAGCAGGAGUUAAUCGAGGACUGGAUGCAGUGUAAAAGGUGGGUUUUAAAAAACUCGCUGGCCGCGUAGGUCUUCUUAUGCUAGACUUAGCUCCCUCUCUCUCAACUCUGGGGAUUUGCCCUCCCUGUGACACAACUGGAAUUUACAGGAGCUGAAGCCCACUGUCCUCCUUGCUGUUUAUCUGCAUUUUGGAGAUUCUAUGAAACCUAGUAUUGAAGAAACCACCCAGCUCAUUAAAGUUCAUUAAUUUUUAUUGUUUUUAUUUUCAUCAGAAGAUAGUAGUGGAGACUUAACACCAAGAUGUGUUUAAAACAUUGAUCUGAUCGACAUAGC
ensembl:antisense A830092H15Rik RIKEN cDNA A830092H15 gene